GGAAUUUUGCGCAAUGGGGGCAACCCUGACGCAGCAACGCCGCGUGCGGGACGACGGCCUUCGGGUUGUAAACCGCUUUCAGCAGGGAAGAACCUAUGACGGUACCUGCAGAAGAAGCCCCGGCUAACUACGUGCCAGCAGCCGCGGUAAUACGUAGGGGGCGAGCGUUAUCCGGAAUGAUUGGGCGUAAAGCGCGCGCAGGCGGCCGCUCAAGCGGGACCUCUAACCCCGGGGCUCAACCCCGGGCCGGGUCCCGAACUGGGCGGCUCGAGUGCGGUAGGGGAGAGCGGAAUUCCAAGUGUAGCGGUGAAAUGCGCAGAUAUUUGGAAGAACACCGAUGGCGAAGGCAGCUCUCUGGGCCGUCACUGACGCUGAGGCGCGAAAGCCGGGGGAGCGAACAGGAUUAGAUACCCUGGUAGUCCCGGCCGUAAACGAUGGGCGCUAGGUGUGGGGGGACAUUCCCUCCGUGCCGCAGCCAACGCAUUAAGCGCCCCGCCUGGGGAGUACGGCGGCAACGCUAAAACUCAAAGGAAUUGACGGGGGCCCGCACAAGCAGCGGAGCAUGUGGCUUAAUUCGAAGCAACGCGAAGAACCUUACCAGGGCUUGACAUCCGGGUGAAGCGGCGGAGACGCCGUGGCCGAGAGGAGCCCGGACAGGUGGUGCAUGGCUGUCGUCAGCUCGUGCCGUGAGGUGUUGGGUUAAGUCCCGCAACGAGCGCAACCCCCGUCGCGUGUUGCCAGCAGGUCAAGCUGGGCACUCGCGCGAGACUGCCGGCGUCAAGCCGGAGGAAGGUGGGGACGACGUCAAGUCAUCAUGCCCCUUAUGCCCUGGGCUGCACACGUGCUACAAUGGCCGGCACAACGGGUUGCGACCCCGCGAGGGGGAGCGGAUCCCUCAAAGCCGGCCCCAGUUCGGACCGCAGGCUGCAACCCGCCUGCGCGAAGCCGGAGUUGCUAGUAAUCGCGGAUCAGCACGCCGCGGUGAAUACGUUCCC
rnacentral:rRNA from 1 species